GCUGCGGUGGCCGAGAGGUUAGGCGCGCGGUACGAGUGUACAUGGUUCCAUGCUUUUCAUCGUUCUACGUGGGUUCGAUUCCCACCCGCGGCA